AGAUAUGUUUGAUAUAAUUGGUG
rnacentral:miRNA from 1 species